AUUAGGUUGGCCACUAACUAAGUUUAUAAUGUGGGGCUAUAAUUCAUUUAGAGUAACUCAAUAGAGCAUAUUUGAGCUGAUAAUCGGCCAGUCUGUGCCCUGAUACGGUUCUGUGUCAACCCUGGAUUGUCGGGUCAACAGCAGCUAUGUGGUGUAGGCCUACUGAUUGUUGUUUACGUCGCUCCUGACUUUGUUUGGCAGGCGGCACGGACUUACUGUACUUGUGGGGCCCAUGGGGAUGUGGAGGCGCGGCGAAGGGGGCUAGCAGCGACGGUAGACCGGACACCAGAGGGUCCCCGUGGCUCGCGCCCCCCGAGAGGAGCCCGGAGAUGGAGUAACCCUGCUGGCCAGUGGGGCGGAGCCCCGGCACCGGCAGCUCGGAGUCCAUGUACGGCUUGAGCUCCAUGCCGACACUGAAGGAGACCCCGUGAUCUGCGCGCGCCGCCCCCGAGAAGCCCCACAACUGCCUGCGGGGCUACAAUAUACAAUUGAUUUUUAUUACA